GGGGAAUAUUGGGCAAUGGGGGCAACCCUGACCCAGCGACGCCGCGUGAAGGACGAAGGCAUUCGUGUUGUAAACUUCUUUGGAGAGGGACGAAAAUGACGGUACCUCUCGAACAAGCCACGGCUAACUACGUGCCAGCAGCCGCGGUAAUACGUAGGUGGCAAGCGUUAUCCGGAAUUACUGGGUGUAAAGGGCGCGCAGGCGGCCCUGCAAGUCGGAUGUGAAAGAUCAAGGCUCAACCUUGACAGGCCAUUCGAAACUGUGGGGCUUGAGUGUCAGAGGGGAAAGUGGAAUUCCUAGUGGAGCGGUAAAAUGCGCAGAUAUUAGGAGGAACACCGGUGGCGAAGGCGACUUUCUGGCUGACAACUGACGCUGAGGCGCGAAAGCGUGGGGAGCAAAC
rnacentral:rRNA from 1 species